rnacentral:rRNA from 1 species
GACGAACGCUGGCGGCGUGCCUAAUACAUGCAAGUAGAACGCACAGUUUAUACCGUAGCUUGCUACACCAUACACUGUGAGUUGCGAACGGGUGAGUAACGCGUAGGUAACCUGCCUGGUAGCGGGGGAUAACUAUUGGAAACGAUAGCUAAUACCGCAUAAUAUUGAUUAUUGCAUGAUAAUUGAUUGAAAGAUGCUAUUGCAUCACUACCAGAUGGACCUGCGUUGUAUUAGCUAGUAGGUGAGGUAACGGCUCACCUAGGCGACGAUACAUAGCCGACCUGAGAGGGUGAUCGGCCACACUGGGACUGAGACACGGCCCAGACUCCUACGGGAGGCAGCAGUAGGGAAUCUUCGGCAAUGGACGAAAGUCUGACCGAGCAACGCCGCGUGAGGGAAGAAGGGUGUCGGAUCGUAAAGCUCUGUUGUAAGAGAAGAACGGGUGUGAGAGUGGAAAGUUCACACUGUGACGGUAUCUUACCAGAAAGGGACGGCUAACUACGUG